rnacentral:rRNA from 1 species
AUUGAACGCUGGCGGCAGGCCUAACACAUGCAAGUCGAACGAGUGGCGGACGGGUGAGUAAUGUCUGGGAAACUGCCUGAUGGAGGGGGAUAAAUACUGGAAACGGUAGCUAAUACCGCAUACCAUCGGAUUUACCCAGAUGGGAUUGGCUAGCGGGUGGGGUAAUGGCUCACCCAGGCGACGAUCCCUAGCUGGUCUGAGAGGAUGACCUGCCACACGGGAACUGAGACGCGGUCCAGACUCCUACGGGAGGCAGCAGUGGGAAAUAUUGCACAAUGGGAGCAAGCCUGAUGCAGCCAUGCCGCGUGUAUGAAGAAGGCCUUCGGGUUGUAAAGUACUGUCAGCGGGGAGGCGUUGCCCGCAGAGGAAGCACCGGCUAACUCCGGGCCAGCAGCCGCGGUAAUAC